CAAAGUGUAGCUUAACCAAAGCACCUGGCUUACACCCAGAAGACUUCAUACGACAUGACCACUUUGA
rnacentral:tRNA from 1 species